rfam:Hordeum vulgare subsp. vulgare, WGS project CAJW01000000 data, contig: morex_contig_136474
UAUCUACUCCCUCCGCCCGGGAAUUCUUAUCUUAGAUUUGUCUAGAUAUGAAUGUAUCUAGUCACAUUAUAGUAUUUAGAUACAUUCAUUUCUAGAAACUUAAGACAAGAAUUUUGGGACGAAGGGAGUAAUAC